GACAGGGGAGGCAAGCGUUGUUCGGAAUCAUUGGGCUUAAAGGGCGUGUAGGCGGCAACGCAAGUGUCGAGUGAAAUCCCAUCGCUCAACGAUGGAACGGCUCGGCAAACUGCGUGGCUUGAGGUCGGUAGAGGUGCUCGGAACUCUAGGUGGAGCGGUGAAAUGCGUAGAUAUCUAGAGGAACGCCUGAGGCGAAAGCGGGGCACUGGGCCGAUUCUGACGCUGAGACGCGAAAGCGUGGGGAGCAAACAGG
rnacentral:rRNA from 1 species